ensembl:lncRNA
GCAAGGCAAUGCCAGGCCAGCCCAGGGCAAGACAGGCCAGGCCAGGCAAGGCAAGGCAAGGCCAGGCAAGGCAAGGCAAUGGAAGACAGGGCUAGACAAGGCAAGUCAAAGCAAGGGAAGGCAAGGCCAGGCAAGAGCAGGCAAGGAAAGGCAAAGCAAGGCAAGGCCAGGGAAUGCAAGGCAAGGCAAAUCCAGUCCAGGGCAGGCAAGGCACAGCCGGACAAAAGAAGGCCAGGCCAGGCCAGGCCAGGGUAGGCAAGGCAAGGCUAGGCAAGACCAGGACAAACAAGGCAUGGCCAGGCCAGGCAAGUCAAAGCAAUGCCAGGCAAGGCAAUGCAAAGUCAGGCAAGGCCAGACCUGGACAGGCCGGGGCAGUCCAAGCAUGGCCAGGCCA